UUAGGCGGACGGGUGAGUAACGCGUGGGGAACCUGCCUUGCACCGGGGGAUAACACUUAGAAAUAGGUGCUAAUACCGCAUAAGCGCACAGAGCCGCAUGGCUCGGUGUGAAAAACUACCGGUGGUGCAAGAUGGACCCGCGUCUGAUUAGCUGGUUGGCGGGGUAACGGCCCACCAAGGCGACGAUCAGUAGCCGGCCUGAGAGGGUGAACGGCCACAUUGGGACUGAGACACGGCCCAAACUCCUACGGAAGGCAGCAG
rnacentral:rRNA from 1 species